UACGGGGGGAGCAAGCGUUGUUCGGAUUUACUGGGCGUAAAGGGCGCGUAGGCGGUAGCACAAGUCAGUUGUGAAAUCUCCGGGCUUAACUCGGAAAGGUCAACUGAUACUGUGCGACUAGAGUGCAGAAGGGGCAACUGGAAUUCUCGGUGUAGCGGUGAAAUGCGUAGAUAUCGAGAGGAACACCUGCGGCGAAGGCGGGUUGCUGGGCUGACACUGACGCUGAACUGCGAAAGCUAGGGGAGCGAACGGG
rnacentral:rRNA from 1 species